AUCCAGCUGACAAGCCCAAAAUAGGACGAAACGCGCGUCCUGGAU
rfam:Schistosoma rodhaini strain Burundi genome assembly, scaffold: SROB_scaffold0001778